rnacentral:rRNA from 1 species
GAGUUUGAUCUUGGCUCAGAUUGAACGCUGGCGGCAUGCCUUACACAUGCAAGUCGAACGGCAGCACGGGAGCUUGCUCCUGGUGGCGAGUGGCGAACGGGUGAGUAAUGCAUCGGAACGUAUCCUGGAGUGGGGGAUAACGUAGCGAAAGUUACGCUAAUACCGCAUAUUCUGUGAGCAGGAAAGCGGGGGACCUUCGGGCCUCGCGCUCUUGGAGCGGCCGAUGUCGGAUUAGCUAGUUGGUGAGGUAAAGGCUCACCAAGGCGACGAUCCGUAGCAGGUCUGAGAGGAUGAUCUGCCACACUGGAACUGAGACACGGUCCAGACUCCUACGGGAGGCAGCAGUGGGGAAUUUUGGACAAUGGGGGCAACCCUGAUCCAGCCAUGCCGCAUGAGUGAAGAAGGCCU